rnacentral:misc_RNA from 1 species
UGACCAACUCCCGCUUCGGCGGGGUCUUGGGCUUCGCCUCUGGGCGGGCCUUAAAAUCAGUGGCGGUGCCUACUUUGGCCCUACGCGUAGUAAUACUCCUCGCGAUAGGGACCGGUAGACGCUGGCCAGCAACCCCCAACUUUCUA